GAUUUCCUAGCUCAGUGGUAGAGCAUCGGUUUCCAAAAGGAUCCCGAAGGCCACCCGUUCAAUCCGGUGGGAGAUCU